rnacentral:rRNA from 1 species
UGGGGAAUUUUGGACAAUGGGCGCAAGCCUGAUCCAGCAAUACCGCGUGCAGGAUGAAGGCCUUCGGGUUGUAAACUGCUUUUGUACGGAACGAAACGGCUCUUUCUAAUAAAGAGGGCUAAUGACGGUACCGUAAGAAUAAGCACCGGCUAACUACGUGCCAGCAGCCGCGGUAAUACGUAGGGUGCAAGCGUUAAUCGGAAUUACUGGGCGUAAAGCGUGCGCAGGCGGUUAUGUAAGACAGAUGCGAAAUCCCCGGGCUCAACCUGGGACCUGCAUUUGUGACUGCAUAGCUGGAGUACGGUAGAGGGGGAUGGAAUUCCGCGUGUAGCAGUGAAAUGCGUAGAUAUGCGGAGGAACACCGAUGGCGAAGGCAAUCCCCUGGACCUGUACUGACGCUCAUGCACGAAAGCGUGGGGAGCAAACA